UGCCUCAGUAACGGCGAGUGAAGCGGCAAGAGCUCAAAUUUGAAAGCUGGCUCCUUCGGGGUCCGCAUUGUAAUUUGCAGAGGAUGCUUCGGGAGCGGCCCCCAUCUAAGUGCCCUGGAACGGGCCGUCAUAGAGGGUGAGAAUCCCGUCUGGGAUGGGGUGCCCGCGCCCGUGUGAAGCUCCUUCGACGAGUCGAGUUGUUUGGGAAUGCAGCUCUAAAUGGGUGGUAAAUUUCAUCUAAAGCUAAAUACUGGCCGGAGACCGAUAGCGCACAAGUAGAGUGAUCGAAAGAUGAAAAGCACUUUGAAAAGAGAGUUAAACAGCACGUGAAAUUGUUGAAAGGGAAGCGCUUGCGACCAGACUCGCCCGCGGGGUUCAGCCGGCAUUCGUGCCGGUGUACUUCCCCGCGGGCGGGCCAGCGUCGGUUUGGGCGGCCGGUCAAAGGCCCUCGGAAUGUAACGCCCCCCGGGGCGUCUUAUAGCCGAGGGUG
rnacentral:rRNA from 1 species